rnacentral:tRNA from 1 species
AAUAGAGAAGUAAAAAUACAUUUAGUUUCGACCUAAAAAUUUAAGAAAAAAUUCUUCCUAUUU